rnacentral:rRNA from 1 species
CGGCUACCAUGCAGUCGAGCGGAUGAGGGAGCUUGCUCCUGGAUUCAGCGGCGGACGGGUGAGUAAUGCCUAGGAAUCUGCCUGGUAGUGGGGGAUAACGUCCGGAAACGGGCGCUAAUACCGCAUACGUCCUGAGGGAGAAAGUGGGGGAUCUUCGGACCUCACGCUAUCAGAUGAGCCUAGGUCGGAUUAGCUAGUUGGUGGGGUAAAGGCCUACCAAGGCGACGAUCCGUAACUGGUCUGAGAGGAUGAUCAGUCACACUGGAACUGAGACACGGUCCAGACUCCUACGGGAGGCAGCAGUGGGGAAUAUUGGACAAUGGGCGAAAGCCUGAUCCAGCCAUGCCGCGUGUGUGAAGAAGGUCUUCGGAUUGUAAAGCACUUUAAGUUGGGAGGAAGGGCAGUAAGUUAAUACCUUGCUGUUUUGACGUUACCAACAGAAUAAGCACCGGCUAACUUCGUGCCAGCAGCCGCGGUAAUACGAAGGGUGCAAGCGUUAAUCGGAAUUACUGGGCGUAAAGCGCGCGUAGGUGGUUCAGCAAGUUGGAUGUGAAAUCCCCGGGCUCAACCUGGGAACUGCAUCCAAAACUACUGAGCUAGAGUACGGUAGAGGGUGGUGGAAUUUCCUGUGUAGCGGUGAAAUGCGUAGAUAUAGGAAGGAACACCAGUGGCGAAGGCGACCACCUGGACUGAUACUGACACUGAGGUGCGAAAGCGUGGGGAGCAAACAGGAUUAGAUACCCUGGUAGUCCACGCCGUAAACGAUGUCGACUAGCCGUUGGGAUCCUUGAGAUCUUAGUGGCGCAGCUAACGCGAUAAGUCGACCGCCUGGGGAGUACGGCCGCAAGGUUAAAACUCAAAUGAAUUGACGGGGGCCCGCACAAGCGGUGGAGCAUGUG